AUACGAAGGGGGCUAGCGUUGUUCGGAAUUACUGGGCGUAAAGCGCGCGUAGGCGGACUGAUCAGUUGGGGGUGAAAUCCCAGGGCUUAACCCUGGAACUGCCUCCAAUACUGUCAGUCUUGAGUUCGGGAGAGGUGAGUGGAAUUCCUAGUGUAGAGGUGAAAUUCGUAGAUAUUAGGAAGAACACCAGUGGCGAAGGCGGCUCACUGGCCCGAUACUGACGCUGAGGCGCGAAAGCGUGGGGAGCAAACAGGAUUAGAAACCCUGGUAGUCC
rnacentral:rRNA from 1 species